rnacentral:misc_RNA from 1 species
UUACAAUCCAAUUGAUUUUGAUUAUAUUUUUGAGUAAGAUGAUCCACUGUAUCCUUGGUUGGAGGAAAAAAAAUUUUCCUUUGCUUGAUGGUGAGCAAAAUCCUUGGUUUGAUGAGAAUGAUGUUCGAUAGAAAUGCUCCAUCACAAUCCAAUGCUCAAGAUUAAGGACAAGAAAGUUGUGUCAGUAAUACUUAUGCAUUAACAAGUUCAAGCGAUAAUGAUAGUGAUGAUG